GGAUCAAUUUCCAUACCGAAAAGGUCUUAGAAAAUCCUUCCAUGUGUCUCGUUAAUUAUUCCAGACAAUCAUCCAAAACAACUAAGAAUGUAUUUCCUAUCAGCUUUUCCUUCAAAUCAGAUUGAAGAAAAUUAAAAUUUUCCAUGCUACAAGGACAGGAAUCUAGUGCCGCUGUUAUUGUCCUUGUAACAUGAACAGGGUCGAAAUUUUCAGCUACACAUCCAUAAUCUUUGUCAAAUUUUUCCACCACUUGGAGACAUCACUGUAAACCAGUUGAGCAAGAGUAGUUUUUCCUAUUUCGCCCAUACCCACUGUUUCUGCGUGGAUAGCCGAUUCCAAGGUAGAGAUAGUUGAGUUGCAAGUUCAAGUUCGCCUCUCCUCAGACCAGUGGAUUAUGCGUCGGCUUCCUCCAAGAACGACGGCGGUGGACACCUACAAAGGCACUCCAAACGCUCAAGUUAAUAGGAAUAGAAGAUAAGUAUAAUAUUACUCAGAGUUGUAUAUUUAUAAAGUUGUAUUUGAUUUUAUCGAAUAUGACGUACUCCGAUUUAGUUUUUAUAGGUUUAUUUGAGCCGAAUUAUAGCCAACGGAUCACCCACAAUGAAGAUCACAGUCACUUAUGAUUCUCCAAUUUUGCAACCUUUCAAACAAGUUGUUAAAGAGUCGUCUUCUUCAAUUAUUGAAGUCGGGUUCUCCAAAACAACAUCAACAAAGAAAGAGAGGUAAGCUCCACCAUAAAGUUUUUCAGCUAUGAUUGGAUCCCAAGUGAAGUAGAUGAGAUCACAACAAAAAAAGAAAGAAACAAUGGAGUAUAUAGGUGCUUUACGCAAAUGUGGUGUUAGGAGUAAAAAUCGGACCGUCCGAUUUUUGAGUACACAAAUAAGAUGGUCCAUCCGAUUUGUGUUUAAAAAAUUAAAAAAAUUUGGAGUACACAACUCGGAUCCUCCGAUUUGUGUACUCUAAAUUUUUUUCAUCUUUUAAAUACAAAUCGGAGGGUCUAUUUCUUCCACCAAAAUUUAAAUUUUUUCUUUCACAUUAAUCGGAAUGUCCAAUUAGUAAGUUUAAUUUUUUUUUGCAAAGAAAUCGAAUGGUGCAAUUUCUUCAUUUUUAUUUUAGAAAAUGCUGUUUCCACAUCCAUGUCUAGCAUUUACGUUUUUCACAAUAACGCACAACACACAUGCUUCUCAUAUCUAAAAAAAUGAACCAUAAAAAAUAAAGGUGAAGGAUGUGAGAAGAAGGGUUCACAGUUGCAAUAUAUUCUCUGGGUUUAGAAAGAAACAAGAGCAAAGAAGGGAAGUGUUUGAUUUGUGUGGUGACUAAAAUUGACUAGAUGAAUGAUGAGCUUUAUGGUCUUUCGAUAAUUACGGAAUUACCUAUCGAUGAAAAUUUUCACCUUUUCAUGUACAGAUUUAAAGAUUUGUCUAUGUGGCAAAAUCUAAACCACACAUUCUAAAGCCACACUUUUCAUUUAAAACCGUAACUCUUCACAAAGAAAAGCGUCACUUAAUGGAAAAAAGUAAAUUAGAAGAUUUAAGAGAAGAAAUAAUUAAGUUAUCAAAAUUAAUAGAUCAAAAAUUAAUGAUUUUAACUAAUGUUAACUGUAAUGACACCGAAUUCUUAAAAUCAAUACAAAAUGAUUUCUCUCAAAAUCUUUAUUUUACUAUAAGUUUUAUUGAAGGACUUCAAAAACCUGAAAAAACUUAUUCUUUACACGGAAUUUCUAAAAAAUGUUACCAUGGAAAUGAUUCACCACAUCUUUAUCAUACCUUUAACCCACAAUUAAAUUCUAUAGUAGACAUGCUUGAAGAAGUUUUAGUAUCCAUAAAAUUUCAGAGAAAUAAGGAAAAAGAGAAUCCCAAAGAAGAAAAAUUUCAAAAUAUAAUCAACAUAACAGAUUUAAAAGUAAAACCACCACUAAAAUUAUGAAUAUUGAAGAAAAAUUAGAAGAAGUUACAAUGCUUUUUAAACAAUUAAAAAUGGCUCAAGAAAAUAAUAUUAUGGAACAGGGAUUUCAAAUAGAAGAAGAAUUAAAUCCUGAAAAUAUAGAAAAUGAAGAACACAUCCUAGAUUAUUCAAGUGACGAAGAACCAGCAAUUCCAAUACAAGUAAAAAAUGAAGCUGGAACAUCUAAGGAUAAUCAAUCUCAAUUUAAAUGGGAACAGGUUUUGAUAAUUAUGCUUUUAAAAAAGGAUUUAUAAAUAAAGAUUCAAAAUAUACAAAAAUACCAUCAAAAUAUGUUCCUAAAAUCCAGGAAAUGGAAUGAGAUAGAAUGCUCGAUUUAGAUUGUAAAAAGAAUGAAAAAGAAAUUUUCGAAAACUGGUUAAAUUCCUUUUUAUUAGAAGCCUUUACCAACCCAAAACUUAGUGAAUUGUCUGGAAGAGACAUUUGGAAUUACAUAGGGUUUCAUACUAAAGGAACUAUAAGAGAAAUAAAUAGAGGGACAAUUGAAAAUAAUUUUGGUGGAGCAACCUCUUCAAUAAGAGAGGAAAUAAAAGAACGUUGUAUGCAAGAAGCAACUCAAAAAAGAUUUGCAAAUAUAAUUAGAAUUUGCUGUCAGGAUAAUGAAGAGAUUAUAGAUUCUGGAGCAACACAAUGUUUUGCUAGUUCAAAUAUAAAACUUGGUUGGAAAAAAUUAAAGAAACCAUUAAGAGUUAGAAUAGCUGACAAAUCAAUACAUAAAAUUGACCAAAAAGCAGAGAUGGUAAUUCUUUAUUCCGCAAGAGAUAGAGAAGAGUUUUCCUUAGAAUGUAAAGAUCUUUUGGAAAAAGGAAUUAUAAGAUUAAGUAAAAGUCCUCAUGCGGCUCCAGCCUUUUAUGUCGAAAACAAUAAUGAAAUUAAAACGGGAAAACGAAGAAUGGUUAUUAACUAUAAGAAGAUGAAUGAAGCAACUAUUGGUGAUGCUCAUAAACUUCCAAGAAAAGAUUCUAUUUUAGAAAAAAUCAAAGGAGCAACUUGGUUUUCAUCUCUUGAUGCAAAAUCAGGAUAUUGGCAACUUCGUUUAGACGAAGAAACAAAGAAAUUAACUGCUUUUACUUGCCCAACAAAAGAAUCAACAAGUGUAUUGCUCUAUGAAUGGAAUGUAUUACCAUUCGGAUUAAAACAAGCCCCAUGUAUUUAUCAAAGAUUUAUGGAAGAAAAUCUAAAAGAGUUAAAUGAAUUUGUUUUAGUGUACAUUAAUGAUAUACUAAUUUUUACAAAACAGGAUAAAGAAGAUCAUCUUCAAAAAUUAUUAAUAGUUUUAGAAAGAUGUAAAGAUAAAGGAUUAGUUCUUAGCAAAAAGAAAGCAAGAAUAACAAAACAAGAAAUAGAGUUUCUUGGAUUAAUUCUAUCCACUCAAGGAAGGCUAAAACUACAGCCAAAUGUCCUAGAAAAGGUAAAUUUAUUUCCUAAUAAAAUAGAAGAUAGAAAACAAUUACAAAGAUUUUUAGGGUGUAUAAAUUAUAUUUCUGAUCAAGGAUUUUUAAAAAAUAUAACAGAAUACACUAAAAGCUUAUUUCCAAAAAUAAGUACUAAAAAAGAAUGGAAAUGGGAUGAAAAAGAUAGUAUGCAAAUUCAAAGGAUUAAAGAAUUAUGUGAAAAACUUCCAGAACUUUAUAUUCCAGAAGAAAAUGACUACUUAAUAAUAGAAACAGAUGCUUCAGACAUAACCUGGUCAGGAUGUCUAAAAGCUAAGAAGGCUAUAAAAAGUUUGGAACAAGAAAAAGAAUCACUAGAUUCUAAAUAUUCCCUAAAGGAAUUACUUUACACGUAUAUUUCAGGGACUUUUACUCCAACAGAACAGAGAUAUACUACUCAUGAAAAGGAAACUCUAGCAGCAAUUAAAUCUCUUUAGAAAUGGAAAAUUGAUUUACUACCCAGAGAAUUUACAUUAAGGACAGAUUCAAGUUACCUAACAGGUUUCAUACGAUAUAAUUUAAAAGUUGAUUAUAAUCAUGGACGAUUGGUAAGAUGGCAAUUAUUUUUGUUACAAUAUCCAAUAAAAAUUGAAUAUAUUAAAGGUGACAAAAAUGUUAUUGCAGAUACAUUAACAAGAGAAUGGAGUUCGUCUACAAUGCAUUAGAUCAAGAAAUUCAGAAAUACGAACAAGAACUCGAAAAAUGCAAGCAUUGUCAGCAAAUAAGGACACAGAUCCAAUCCCUCAAGAAGGCCAUCGAAGCAAUAAAAUC
rnacentral:lncRNA from 1 species